UACAGAGGGGGCGAGCGUUGUUCGGAAUUACUGGGUGUAAAGGGUUCGUAGGCGGUGCGGCAAGUUGGGAGUGAAAUCUCUGGGCUUAACCCAGAGGCUGCUUCCAAAACUGCUGUGCUUGAGUGUGGGAGAGGCGCGUGGAAUUGCAGGUGUAGCGGUGAAAUGCGUAGAUAUCUGCAGGAACACCCGUGGCGAAAGCGGCGCGCUGGACCACUACUGACGCUGAGGAACGAAAGCUAGGGGAGCAAACAGG
rnacentral:rRNA from 1 species